GUAGGGAAUAUUGGGCAAUGGUCGGAAGACUGACCCAGCCAUGCCGCGUGCAGGAAGACGGCCCUCUGGGUUGUAAACUGCUUUUAUCUGGGAAGAAAAAGGCCAUGCGUGGCAAAUUGCCGGUACCAGAUGAAUAAGCACCGGCUAACUCCGUGCCAGCAGCCGCGGUAAUACGGAGGGUGCGAGCGUUGUCCGGAUUUAUUGGGUUUAAAGGGUGCGUAGGCGGCUGAUUAAGUCAGCGGUGAAAGACUUCGGCUUAACCGGAGCAGUGCCGUUGAUACUGGUUGGCUUGAGUGUCGGAGGGGUACAUGGAAUUGAUGGUGUAGCGGUGAAAUGCAUAGAUACCAGCAGGAACACCGAUAGCGAAGGCAUUGUACUGGCCGACAACUGACGCUGAUGCACGAAAGUGUGGGGAUCGAACAGGAUUAGAAACCCGGGUAGUCC
rnacentral:rRNA from 1 species